UAGAAACCUGCCCAGCAGAACGACCAGCGAACCAGUUGAUAUCACUGACGACGAGAAGGGGGAUGCAUCCGCAGCGGGUGAUCCUCCUUCCUGCCCCACGCUGCGGGGAGAGGGUCUCGUCCCGCUCCCGACUGGCGAAACAACGAACACCCGGCGCAGACUGCGCCAAGGAAAUCUAACGAGAGAGCACGCUCCCACGGCCCCGGAGACAGUGCGCUACGGGGUGCAGUGCCUUCUUUCAAAUGUAUCCAAAACGACUCUCGGCAAUGGAUAUCUUAGCUCUCGCAUCGAUGAAGAACGUAGCAAAAUGCGAUACUUGGUGUGAAUUGCAGAAUCCAUGAACUAUCGAGUCUUUGAACGCAAGUUGUGCCCCAAGCCAUUAGGCCGAGGGCAUGUCUGCUUGUGUGUCACGCAUCGUUGCCCCACCCCACCCCCGCAACCCAAGGCGGGGGCCCCAGGGUGCGGGCAUAGAUUGGCCUCCCGUGCGCUGACCGCUCGCGGUUGGCCCAAAUAUGAAUCCUCGGCGACUGAAGCCGCGGCGAUCGGUGGUGAAACAAAGCCUCUCAAGCUACCGCUGCGCGCCCAGUAUCCAAGUGUGGACUCUACGACCUUGAAGCUCCACGCAAGCGGCGCUCGCAUUGCGACCCCA
rnacentral:rRNA from 1 species